GAUGAACGCUGGCGGCGUGCUUAACACAUGCAAGUCGAACGAAGCAUUUGCGACAGAUUUUUUCGGAAUGAAGUUGCUUAUGACUGAGUGGCGGACGGGGGAGUAACGCGUGGGUAACCUGCCUUGUACUGGGGGAUAGCAGCUGGAAACGGCUGGUAAUACCGCAUAAGCGCACAAUGUUGCAUGACAUGGUGUGAAAAACUCCGGUGGUAUAAGAUGGACCCGCGUCUGAUUAGCUAGUUGGUGAGAUAACAGCCCACCAAGGCGACGAUCAGUAGCCGACCUGAGAGGGUGACCGGCCACAUUGGGACUGAGACACGGCCCAGACUCCUACGGGAGGCAGCAGUGGGGAAUAUUGCACAAUGGAGGAAACUCUGAUGCAGCGACGCCGCGUGAGUGAAGAAGUAAUUCGUUAUGUAAAGCUCUAUCAGCAGGGAAGAUAGUGACGGUACCUGACUAAGAAGCUCCGGCUAAAUACGUG
rnacentral:rRNA from 1 species